AUGGGAAGACCACAAUGUGUAAUUGUGUAGUGGCAAGAUGGAAGAGACCACGAUGUGUAGUGGCAAGGUGGAAGACUUAGUCUAAUUUGU